GGACGAACGCUGGCGGCGUGCCUAAUACAUGCAAGUUGAGCGCUGAAGGUUGGUACUUGUACCAACUGGAUGCGCAGCGAACGGGUGAGUAACGCGUGGGGAAUCUGCCUUUGAGCGGGGGACAACAUUUGGAAACGAAUGCUAAUACCGCAUAAAAACUUUAAACACAAGUUUUAAGUUUGAAAGAUGCAAUUGCAUCACUCAAAGAUGAUCCCGCGUUGUAUUAGCUAGUUGGUGAGGUAAAGGCUCACCAAGGCGAUGAUACAUAGCCGACCUGAGAGGGUGAUCGGCCACAUUGGGACUGAGACACGGCCCAAACUCCUACGGGAGGCAGCAGUAGGGAAUCUUCGGCAAUGGACGAAAGGCUGACCGAGCAACGCCGCGUGAGUGAAGAAGGUUUUCGGAUCGUAAAACUCUGUUGGUAGAGAAGAACGUUGGUGAGAGUGGAAAGCUCAUCAAGUGACGGUAACUACCCAGAAAGGGACGGCUAACUACGUG
rnacentral:rRNA from 1 species